AAGUAUUAGUUUCUUUGACAUUGAUCUAAUGCUUUUUGAUGGGCAUAAGUUCUGCUCAAUUUAUUAUUUUAGUUGUACCUUCUUCUGAAGGAUAUGGUGUCUCAUGAGAUGGACUGAUACUGAGGAGAGAAAGAUAUGGUAGUCAUUUUGCAAAAUAUUGGAUUGACAACUAUUAUGUUCAUAACUUGGAAUGGUUGUCGUAGUAUAUAGGGUUGCAUGCAUUGAUCAACUGAUUGGCUGUUUGACGGUUUGUGUUCGUUACUAUCUCUUUACAGAUGUCCUUUUAUUUAUUGUUUUGUGGGUUUACUUGUAAUUGAGGAAACUGGGAUGGCUUUACACGACACAAAAUAUUGAUUCUUACAUUUUGUUUUUGCUUUUAUUGUAUGAUGUUCAUGUACGUCGCAUUUCUGGUGCCUUAUUUGCAAUAAAAUACUUUCUUUAUCUGUACCGCGUCCCAAAACAUAUAUAAAUAGAGAGAGAUGAAAUAUAUUUUUUGUUGAUCACAACUGUAUGAAGAUAUUUUUUGAUUAUUUAUUCUAAGCUAAAGUUGAGUUGGAACAUACAUAUUGGUACUUAGGUACUUUUAGCUAGCUCAUAGAGAUAUUAAAUGUCCCUUGUUCUUGUUUGUCAAUUAUAACAUGUCACUUGUUCAUUUUUGUUUCAUGUUAGAUGUGCAAUCAACUUGCCAGAAAUGAUGUGUAGCAUUGAACUCCCUUUGUUGGCACCAUUGAUACUGACUGUGUUAAUCUGAUAAAAGCUAUUUUGAUGUGUAUUUCAAGAAUCUCUUGUGGUGACUAGUUGGUUCUUAAUGGUACUUGUACGAUGGGUGCCCUUUCCUUCUCUUUAUUGAGGAUACUGUCGCGAAUAUCUGGACUGGAAGUGACUUUGUCGGUGAGAGCAAUUGUAGAAAUAGUCAAUCAGCUCCGCCAUUUUACCAUGGCAAGAAGAAGUUAUUUGCCACGACUGAGUUUUCAAGAAAGGCAGCAGGAAAUAAGAAUAUUAAGACUGUUCAUGAUGUGCCACUCAGGCCAGAAACUAGAGCUGUAAGGAGACUGCAUCAUUCUGCAGAAGCUAUCUGCUUGGUGCUUCCACGACAGUCAUCCCAUCAAUGUGAUCAAUCUUCCACCCCAAGUUGUGGUGAUGGUGUAUUCUCUGAUGAAAGGUCAAGUGUGAAACUGAAACUUGUUAACAUUUGGAAUAGCAAAUUACAAGCUCUAGGGGAGUGCACAAGUACACAUGAUGAGGAGUCAAAAGAAAGUAAACUAUUCCUGCGCUGCCAUUCAUUCCUGACGUGAAUAAGAGCUGAAUUUUUCUACUGCAUGUUUCAGUUAAUUAGCUUCAUUUCUUUCACCCAGUUUUCAAGAUUAUCUUAGAGCAUUCUUAUUAAUCAUGAAAACAUUACAGAUUACAAUGUCUUUUUCCAAGUCUCCUGGGCCACAAAAUAGUCUCUUUCAAAUUCCAUCUUGCUUGUGUGUCAUGCCUGACAUUUUUUAUUCAAAUUUUCAGAAUUUUCACAAACAAAAUCUUAAAGUUUCUUACUGAAGAAAAUGAGUGAUAUACGGUGCUUUCUCUUUUGCUUCAUCACUUUGUGACUGUUUGGCGGAGUUUAUUCUUGUGUAGAAACUUAGGCCCACGUCGAGAUAGAUGAGCACUCCUUUUUACAUAGUCAAGGACUAUGAUCUUUUGUUUGAUUCUAACAUUUAUCUUCGUUGAACAUUAUACUCAUUGUCAUGUUCUACAGCAUGCUUCAGAUGAAUGAAUUUGUAACUUACUGAAUUAUCAGGUCCUAUCUGGAAAAAUGAGGACAACAACCUAUCUUGAUUCUGAGCAAGAAAUGGUAUGUUUAUUUUGGUCAUAGGUAACACUGAUUUUGAGUCUUUGACCAUGAUUUCGCAGGUCAUGCCUGUUACCAAAUUCAAAACUGGGGUUGGAUCUGCAAUGUUCAUUCUCAAGCUUCAAGAUCAUUUACCAAGUAAGUUACGAUCUUUGUUUGGAGUUUCAUGUCACAACCAGUCUAUGGAACUUGAGAAAACUGUCAUUUACAUUGCACUUACUUUUGCAACAUGAAGUUAUAUGUUUUGGUUGAAGCAGUAACAUAAAUCUGAUUCACAAGCAGCUAAAAUCUGUCACACUUCUUGCGGUAACAUUUUCUAAUACUUGUCUCUGUCAUAUUAUACAUUCCUAAAGUAAAGUACAUGCAAACCAUUUGCAAAUCGGUCUUAGAAGGGAAAGGUAUUGUAGUACUGAUUGUAGUUGUUGAUACAGGAUUAGUUGCUCACCUACUACAUUCUCAAACCUUUUACUACAACUUAUAGCUUAUCUCUUCAACAUUUAUAUUCCUCCCUCCGGUGGAUAUAUGCCUGUCUAAAUGUGGAAAAAAAGAAUGAAAAACAUUUCUUCUCAGACUAGUUAUUCUGUUUUGAGGUAUCAAUAACACAGUUUAUAUCAGUUCUGUGCUCCAUCUUAAGGCUUUCAUGUGUCAUUUGUGCGCAUUGUCUCUUAAGGUCCAUUUUAUGUUGUUUUUUUUGGUAAAAAGUAAAUACCAUUGACAAACGAAGGAGCCAAUACACCUACAGAGCGGCUAGAAUUCAUAGCCACCUUCUAUGAUCUUUUAAGCCUCCUACUGAACAAGAGAACUAGUUACAUGAAAAAUGUUGAAUCAACCUAUAAUUUCUAUGAGCUUUCUUAGAUCCUCUAAACAAUGCUAUUCUCUUUGUAUAUUCCAUUUUAUGUUUUAAUUGGGUUGGUUAUAGCAAGUAAAUUAUGAAUUGUAACUUAUAAGGGAAGAGCUUUUUUGUUCUAAUACCAUCAGUAACUAGACAAUGCUAGAAGUUGUUUCUUUUUGAAUUAUUGUAAGGCCUUGAAGCUUGAAUAGCUUCCAACAUGAUUUGGAAAACUAUUCAUGAAAUCAUUCAUGUUUUAGGAAAAUACUCCACUAGCUAACUAGAUUCUCUUGCACGUGUUUCAUAAGAAAAUGAUUGUUUUCUUGAUGAUAAUACAGACUCCGUGUAUUUUGGGCAUCAAUCUAAGUGAUGUGGAUCUGUUAGAAUUUAUUCAACAGGCAUUAGUCCAUCGACUCUAACUAGCUCUCAUAUUUUACUCUAACCUUGUUUAAGUUCUUGCUUAAAUGUCGUGUCAUGUUCUCUGAAUAAUGUAUUAGCUUGCUGAUACAGAUGGAGCAUCAAUAGUACCCCAUCAGUGAAUCGGGUCCUGAAUAACAAGACUUGCAAGGAGUAAGUUAAUAUUUAAUGAUUUUAGAUAUUUUUCUUAAUUCCUGAUGUCUUUGUUUUCAUUUGUGUUGGAACAAUAUGAAGUCAUGGCAUGGAUUGCAUCGGCAUGAAAUCAACCUAUAAUGUGCAGCAAAGUGACUAAGAUCAUCUGUAUCCUAGUGACAAAAUUAUCUCUGAAGUUAAUCUGGAUCUGGAGCACGAUGCAUCUAUAGAGAUUCAAGAAAUAAAUUGUACAUCAACUCUCUCUCUCUCUCUCAAAACACACACUCAUAUGCUCAUACGUACACACGCAUUGCUGCAACCCUCAAUUUGCCUUCUCCACAACC